rnacentral:lncRNA from 1 species
CUGUUCCCUGAGCACACCACAGCACGCUGCCAUCUCCCUCUGUGCCACAGCCUCAAAAGUACAGCAAAAUACCACCAUGGGCUGGCCACAGCACAUCCUUGUGUUCCAGGAGGGAGACAGAUGCCUGACAGCAGGACCAGUCCCCCCAGACCUCUGCCAGAAGCUUCUGCACCCAGAUGCAGCCAGACCUGUCCUACCAUCACCAGUCCAUGCUGCAGGCUGCUCCUCCUGCUGCACAUCCUUGCUCUGCUCCCAGGAAACUUCCAGGCUGCUGCUGCACACCACCACCUUCCCAAGGGCAGGCAGGAGCCCUGUGCUGCUUUGCUGCUGUCCUGGGAAUUAAUGAAGCAUCAGCUCACCUCUUGUGUUCUCUUUGGGUCCAUCUGCCCUCCCUGCCUGGCCAGGAGAGGGUUGCACACAGCUGUGGAGCAUCUCCUGCACCUUGUGCAGCACAUUCCACAACUGCAGGAGGACACACAGGAUCGUGGGCUCAGCAUUCACCUGAGCAGCUCCUUUCAGGAUGGAACCCCCAGCCAAUGCCCCACAAACCCUGGCUCCCUGCACGAGGAUUGUUCUCCACCCUCUUGGAAGAGCACCUGAAUUAACAGAUAAUGUAUGUACAGCUCUGGGGCUCCCACGGUCUGCAGCCUAAUCCUGG